UACGUAGGGUGCAAGCGUUAAUCGGAAUUACUGGGCGUAAAGCGCGCGCAGGCGGUUCGGAAAGAGAGGUGUGAAAUCCCAGGGCUUAACCUUGGAACUGCACUUUUAACUACCGGGCUAGAGUACGGCAGAGGGGGGUAGAAUUCCACGUGUAGCAGUGAAAUGCGUAGAGAUGUGGAGGAAUACCGAUGGCGAAGGCAGCCCCCUGGGAUGAUACUGACGCUCAUGCACGAAAGCGUGGGGAGCAAACAGG
rnacentral:rRNA from 1 species